rnacentral:rRNA from 1 species
UACAGAGGUGGCAAGCGUUGUUCGGAAUUACUGGGCGUAAAGGGCGCGUAGGCGGCACGGCAAGUCAGGAGUGAAAGCCCGGGGCUCAACCCCGGAAUGUCUUUUGAAACUGCCGAGCUAGAGUGCGGAAGAGGCAACUGGAAUUCCCAGUGUAGCGGUGAAAUGCGUAGAUAUUGGGAAGAACACCUGAGGCGAAGACGGGUUGCUGGGCCGACACUGACGCUGAGGCGCGAAAGCCAGGGGAGCGAACGGG